rnacentral:tRNA from 12 species
GGGCCCGUGGCUCAGCCUGGUUAGAGCGCCCGCCUGAUAAGCGGGAGGUCCGGGGUUCGAAGCCCCGCGGGCCCACCA